rnacentral:rRNA from 1 species
GCGUGAGUGAUGAAGGCCCUAGGGUUGUAAAGCUCUUUCGGCGGGGACGAUAAUGACGGUACCCGCAGAAGAAGCCCCGGCUAACUUCGUGCCAGCAGCCGCGGUAAUACGAAGGGGGCUAGCGUUGUUCGGAAUUACUGGGCGUAAAGCGCACGUAGGCGGGUCGUUAAGUCAGGGGUGAAAUCCCGAGGCUCAACCUCGGAACUGCCCUUGAUACUGGCGACCUUCGAGUCCGGGAGAGGUGAGUGGAACUCCGAGUGUAGAGGUGAAAUUCGU